UCCUCGAUCUGCUGCGGGCAGAUGAAGUGGAUAUGCGGGUCGAUCCCACCGGCGGUCAGGAUGCGCCCCUCGCCGGCGAUGAUCUCGGUGCCGGGGCCGAUGACGAUGGUGACACCGGGCUGCGUAUCCGGAUUGCCGGCCUUGCCGAUCGCGGCGAUGCGGCCGCCGCGCAGCCCCACAUCCGCCUUGAUCACGCCCUGGACGGCAUCAAGGAUCAGCGCAUUGGUGAUGACGGUGUCCAUCGCGCCGGCGGCGCGCGUGGCCUGCGACUGCCCCAUGCCGUCGCGGA
rnacentral:sRNA from 1 species